AAAAGAGUUUGAAAGUCUGGAACGAUGUUGUGACACGUGGGAUUACGUUUCACUACAAACGGUGUUGCCUUAUGGCUGUUCCACCAGAUUCAGAUCGCAUCAAUUCUUCCUUUCAAUCUUUCUUCCAAAAUUGAAUAUACUUUUCUCAUCAUUAAGCGCCACUUCCCACUAUUCAAUACUCCAAUCCCUCUCAAGAUUUUGUGUUGCAGACGCUGCUUCCUUCACUAACAUCAUCAGUAACAGGUAUAUAUAAAUAAAGACGAGAAUGGCUUUCACGUUGGUGAUAUCGUUGCCCUUAAUAUUGUUCAUCUUGAUAUUGGUUUUGGCAUGUUACCUGUUGGGUAAGGCCAAGAGGAGACGACAACAAUCUGGACCACCAGCUCCACCGCAGGCCCAACCCUAAUAACCAAAGGCCCAUACAUGCUACCCAUUUCCCAUUAUUGUUGCUCCGCCUUUGUUCACUAUUAUGCACUUUGGAGUUUGAAAAGCGUUAGUGUAAUAUUAAACAUACACAUAGUUUUGUUUUUUUGGGUAACAACAUUAUCCACAUAGUUGUCUAGUUGAUGAAAAACUAAUGCCAUGGAAUCUUACUAUUCAUGGAUUAAUCUUCAAUAAAAUGUUAGUACAUUGAAAUUUGUUCCCCCACUAGUUUGGGUUUGUUAGGUGAUUUAUGACUUUUGAGAAAAAAAUUUUGUAUUAAUGAUUCGUGCAUACUAAUAUUUUCUUUU